GGAAGAUGGGAGUCGGGCGUCCUCCUGCCCCCCCCACCUCUGAGAUCCCCCCCCACCAGGGAAAAGGCCGCUUUGCAAGGAGUUUCUCGCCAGAGGAGCUGGAAGGAGGUGAUGAAGAGGACAAUGGGAAUUCUAUGGAGCCAGUCAUUCUUUUAUUGAAAACAAAAAACCAAGUGUGAAGUACCAAAAAACCCUACACAUUUAAAAGGAGGAAAAGGGAAGAAAGGAAGCCAGGAAAAAAGAGAGAUAAAGAAAACUCCAGCUUCUCCUGCUAUUAAUGUUAAUGCACUUCUCAUAACAUGAAAAAAUCAA